UACAUGGGGUGCAAACGUUGCUCGGAAUCAUUGGGCGUAAAGCGCGCGUAGGCGGUUACUUAAGUUGGAUGUGAAAGCCCUCGGCUUAACCGAGGAAGUGCAUCCAAAACUGAGUAGCUAGAGUACGAAAGAGGGUCGCGGAAUUCCCGGUGUAGAGGUGAAAUUCGUAGAUAUCGGGAGGAACACCGGUGGCGAAGGCAGCUCUCUGGGACGGUACUGACGCUGAGACGCGAAAGCGUGGGGAGCGAACAGG
rnacentral:rRNA from 1 species